rnacentral:lncRNA from 1 species
CUUCUGGAGUUUCGUAAACAACAACGUUAAACGAUAUAUACUACUUCAUAACGUGUGACCUCACGUGUGUGGUAAAAUUUGUUGAUUGAUGCACGUGGCUAGUCUAGUAAAUGAAUUUAUCUACAAAGCGAGAGCACUUUCCAUUUUCAUCAGCUAAGAGUCGACUAGCCCUUUUUGAAAGGCUAAUGCUUGUAGUCAUGAAUAUUUAUCGCUUAUAUUAAAUUGAUAAAGAUUUUAUCGAGGUCGCACCAACUGUUUCUACAGCUAAGAUAAGUUACAUGUAACAUG